GAGGAUAGAGGCAAUUGUAAAAAACUAUCCAGAAGGCCAUAAAGCAGCAGCUGUUCUUCCAGUCCUGGAUUUAGCCCAAAGGCAGAAUGGGUGGUUGCCCAUCUCUGCUAUGAACAAGGUUGCAGAAGUUUUACAAGUACCUCCAAUGAGAGUAUAUGAAGUAGCAACUUUUUAUACAAUGUAUAAUCGAAAGCCAGUUGGAAAGUAUCACAUUCAGGUCUGCACUACUACACCCUGCAUGCUUCGAAACUCUGACAGCAUACUGGAGGCCAUUCAGAAAAAGCUUGGAAUAAAGGUUGGGGAGACUACACCUGACAAACUUUUCACUCUUAUAGAAGUGGAAUGUUUAGGGGCCUGUGUGAACGCACCAAUGGUUCAAAUAAAUGACAAUUACUAUGUGAGUAUUUCAGGAGGAUUUGACAGCUAAGGAUAUUGAAGAAAUUAUUGAUGAGCUCAAGGCUGGCAAAAUCCCAAAACCUGGGCCAAGGAGUGGACGCUUCUCUUGUGAGCCAGCUGGAGGUCUUACCUCUUUGACUGAACCACCCAAGGGACCUGGAUUUGGUGUACAAGCAGGCCUUUAAUUUAUAUUGAACUGUAAAUAUGUCACUAGAGAAAUAAAAUAUGGACUUCCAGUCUACGUAAU
rnacentral:sRNA from 1 species